CCUACGGGAGGCAGCAGUGGGGAAUAUUGCACAAUGGGGGAAACCCUGAUGCAGCGACGCCGCGUGAGUGAAGAAGUAAUUCGUUACGUAAAGCUCUAUCAGCAGGGAAGAAAAUGACGGUACCUGAGUAAGAAGCCCCGGCUAACUACGUGCCAGCAGCCGCGGUAAUACGUAGGGGGCAAGCGUUAUCCGGAUUUACUGGGUGUAAAGGGAGCGUAGACGGUGCGCCAAGUCUGGAGUGAAAUGCCGCAGCUGAACGGCGGAACUGCUUUGGAUACUGGCGAACUGGAGUGCGGGAGGGGUAAGCGGAAUUCGUGGUGUAGCGGUGAAAUGCGUAGAUAUUAGGAGGAACACCGGUGGCGAAGGCGGCUUACUGGACCGUAACUGACGUUGAGGCUCGAAAGCGUGGGGAGCAAACAGGAUUAGAUACCCUGGUAGUC
rnacentral:rRNA from 1 species